rnacentral:rRNA from 1 species
AUUGAACGCUGGCGGUAUGCUUAAGACAUGCAAGUCGAACGGUAACAGGUUAAGCUGACGAGUGGCGGACGAGUGAGUAACGCGUGGGAAUCUACCUUGUAGUGGGGGAUAAGCCAGGGAAACUUGGACUAAUACCGCAUACGCCCUAAGGGGGAAAGGCGCAAGUCGCUAUAAGAUGAGCCCGCGUCUGAUUAGGUAGUUGGUGGGGUAAAGGCCUACCAAGCCGACGAUCAGUAGCUGGUCUGAGAGGAUGAUCAGCCACGUCGGGACUGAGACACGGCCCGGACUCCUACGGGAGGCAGCAGUCGGGAAUAUUGGACAAUGGGGGAAACCCGUGAUCCAGCAAUACCGCGUGUGUGAAGAAGGCCUGCGGGUUGUAAAGCACUUUUCUGAGAGAUGAGAAAGGACAGUAUCUCAGGAAUAAGUCUCGGCUAACUACGUG